rnacentral:rRNA from 1 species
CCUACGGGCGGCAGCAGUGGGGAAUAUUGCACAAUGGGCGCAAGCCUGAUGCAGCCAUGCCGCGUGUGUGAAGAAGGCCUUCGGGUUGUAAAGCACUUUCAGCGGGGAGGAAGGCGUUAAGGUUAAUAACCUUGUCGAUUGACGUUACCCGCAGAAGAAGCACCGGCUAACUCCGUGCCAGCAGCCGCGGUAAUACGGAGGGUGCAAGCGUUAAUCGGAAUUACUGGGCGUAAAGCGCACGCAGGCGGUCGGUCAAGUCGGAUGUGAAAUCCCCGGGCUCAACCUGGGAACUGCAUUCGAAACUGGCAGGCUAGAGUCUUGUAGAGGGGGGUAGAAUUCCAGGUGUAGCGGUGAAAUGCGUAGAGAUCUGGAGGAAUACCGGUGGCGAAGGCGGCCCCCUGGACAAAGACUGACGCUCAGGUGCGAAAGCGUGGGGAGCAAACAGGAUUAGAUACCCCGGUAGUC